GAGACUGUGGUGUCACAGAUGAAGGUUGUGCUGCUCUGGUUUCAGCUCUGAGAUCAAACCCCUCACACCUGAGAGAACUGAAUCUGAUUGGGAAUAAACCAGGAGAUUCAGAAGUGAAGUUACUCUCUGAUAUGGAAUUUGAUCCACAUUAUAAACUGGAGAAAUUAUACUAUUGACUCUCAGUAUUUAGACGUCAGUUCAGUUUCCUCGGGAUCAGCUGAUGGUGAAUAAGAGCCGCUACAGCGACGUCACAGUCACACAAUCAACAGAGACUGAAGACACAGAGACACACAGAUCACAGAGACUGAAGACACAGAGA